GGCUUUGACCUGAAACCCUGAUGAUUUGUCAUUGGAAUGGUUGAUAAAGAUAUGAAUGAGCUACAGUGGUGACAUGUCGCUGACAGGAACCUGGAGAUAGAGUAUGCUCAAUGAAUACUGUUGAUGCCCAAGCAUCCCAUUUUAUUAAAAGACUCCAGAUUAAUCUUGAUUUGUUUAGCAUAUACAACAUGGAUCAGCAAAAUAGGAAUGCCUUUAGCAUAUGAAAAUAGUCAAGUGUACAAUAGUGGGGCAAUCAACCCAGCAUAGCUGUUAUUCUGCUGCUGUUUCUUUUCACCAUGACUGUUUUGGUUCACACAUGCAUAAUAGUCUCAAGUGA